rnacentral:rRNA from 1 species
CCUACGGGAGGCAGCAGUGGGGAAUAUUGGUCAAUGGGCGCGAGCCUGACCCAGCAAAGUAGCGUGAAUGAUGACUGCCCUACGGUUUGUAAACUUCUUUUAUAAAGGAAUAAAAUGUGGCAGUUGUUCCUUUUUUAAUUUACUUUAUGAAUAAGGAUCGGCUAACUCCGUGCCAGCAGCCGCGGUAAUACGGAGGAUCCGAGCGUUGUCCGGAUUGAUUGGGUGUAAAGGGAGCGUAGAUGGGUUGUUACGUCAGUUGUGAAAGUUUGCGGCUCAACCGUAAAAUUGCAAUUGAUACUGGCAGUCUUGAGUACAGUUGAGGUAGGCGGAAUUCGUGGUGUAGCGGUGAAAUGCUUAGAUAUCACGAAGAACUCCGAUUGCGAAGGCAGCUUACUAAACUGUCACUGACAUUGAUGCUCGAAAGUGUGGGUAUCAAACAGGAUUAGAUACCCGAGUAGUC